rnacentral:snRNA from 1 species
CGGUGUUACAGCUCUUUUAGAAUUUGUCUACCAGUUUCUACUAGAAAAUCUCU